UUGUGUUGGAUUCUCUCGGUCAUGGCUUGAUGUCUAUAGUUUUCGGACACAAAUUACUUUAUUUCAUUUAUUUCGGUGUCUUUGAUACUCUUAGACUUAGUAUUUAGAGAUUAGAUGUCCUUGAUGUGAUGACUUUCAGAUUUUGGGGAUAAUAUGUAAUAGACUUUAGAGGUUUAUUUGAUUGGUUACUUUAAUAAGUUUUGGAGCUUCCGCGUUAUUGUUGUUAUUCGUAGUUGAAUUAUUGGUAUAUGUUGGGGUCUAGAUUCCUUGGUCCGCCCACUUAGGAGGUUAAGUGUGGGUGCAACUCAUGACACAAUUUGGGUCGUGACACAUAUAUUGGGGCCCGUGUUGACACGGGGUCCCAUAUCUAGUACUUAUAUAACUGUGACUAUUAUCAUUACUAAUACAAAAAAAAUCUAUACCUAAAAGCACCUAAUAUUACAAUUACCUUUUUAACAGGUAUUCAUGAUUCAUGAAUAUAUAUUAAGCCUCCACCAAAAAACAAACUUUAAUGAAAUACAGUCUUUCCUUAAAAACAAAAAGAAUUCAUACUACUGUCUUAGUAGGGUGUGUGAGAAUAGUGCAGAAAUCUUAUAUUAGUUAUGUUUAUUUCAUUUAUUUCGGUGUCUUUGAUACUCUUAGACUUAGUAUUUAGAGAUUAGAUGUCCUUGAUGUGAUGACUUUCAGAUUUUGGGGAUAAUAUGUAAUAGACUUUAGAGGUUUAUUUGAUUGGUUACUUUAAUAAGUUUUGGAGCUUCCGCGUUAUUGUUGUUAUUCGUAGUUGAAUUAUU
rnacentral:lncRNA from 1 species